GUCCUUGAGUGCUGGCUUUCUUCGAACUUUAUAUAUAUAUAUACAUACCAACCAAGUUGUGGUGGGAAAAAAAAGUGUGGAUUAAAACCCCUUCUACCUGAAGUAAGUGGAUAGUUAAUACAUUGCCAAACACAAAUACACACACCAAUCAAGCCAUUAGACUUGCUUUACCCUUUUUUUGUCUUCUGUAUGCAACAGCUUUGAAACACAACUCAGGAAGAGGAGCAAAGCCAGUGAACCACUCCUGGACAGCUGUUUCGUUGUUAAUGCAAUUCAUCAGCAUGAGGUUGGUUACUGGCUUGCAAUGAAGGCUUGAUGUUACUUGUAAAGUUCAUACCAACACCACAACUCUGUUGGUAUGUACUUUAACAAUGAACAUUAAUAACAAAACAGCUGUCCAUGAGUGGUUCAUGUGCUUUGCUCCUCUUCCUGAGUUGUGUUUCAAAGCUGUUGUAUACAGCAGACACAUACUCUGAGGAAUCCAUGUAUAAAGUGGAAUUAUGAGGCAAAAAUUUGGUUCUUUGUUGAGCUCAUUUGCAUACACCUACCCAGG